rnacentral:tRNA from 2 species
UGCUUUUUAGUUUAAUAAAAACAUGGAUUUUGUAAAUCUAAAAUAAAAUAAAAGCAA